CCACUGGGGGACCCACUGUUGAUCCCCCAUCCAUUCUGAUAAAGGCUUCCAUGAUGUCAGAAACCAUGAACAGCUCAUCUCCUGAUCCUCCACUGCGAGUUUGAGAGCAUCUUAGGGGCGACAUCUGAGGGUCCGUCCUGGUGUUGAUGUGUCAUAGGUGUGGGGGCCUGGUCUGAGGCUGAACGCGCAGCAGGACCAGCCUCUGGCCCUCCCCAGCUGGAAGGGGGGGGGUAUCAGAGCCCGGUGGGGUCAGCCACCUGUGCGGAAUCCUCUCCAGACAAGUCAGCUCUGGUGCAGAGGCGGCUUGUGGCUUGUGGAACAUCAGAAGACAGAGGAGCCUCCCGGGGACUGAGCUACAGCACCGACAAGGCCAGGCCCCUCCCAGCAGGUUCCCACAUGGCCUUCUCAUCAAGGGCUCCUUGGAGGAAACCCAGCUGCGUGCCAACCACAGAGAACCUCGCUCAAGCUAGGAAAGUUCUUGGACUGCUUAGUAAAAUCGCAAUGUUUGUUAAUAAAAUCAUACUUUAGUUGCCC
rnacentral:lncRNA from 1 species